rnacentral:lncRNA from 1 species
CCUAACCAAGUUCGCCGUCACUGUCCACAUAGCGUCCACUUCCCCAUAACUUCUCCAAGCUCCGCCCUCCACUAACUUCCUUUCCAACUCCUGUGCUUUCUCAUUAGACAAAGCUCCCCAUCUAAUCCGCGGUUGACCCUGGGCACCCCUCCGCUUCUUCUUCACCCAGAGAUCGACAUCCAUCACUAGCAGUCUAUGAAGAGUUGAAAGAGACUCUCCCGGAAUAACCUUGCAGUCCUUGCACAAGCCCCUAUCGCUCCUUC